GACGCCCAAGGAUGAAGGAAAAGACUGUAGCGACGGCCUCUUAAUUUUCUUCACAAGCAUCCAAAUCAUGGACGCAGUGGAGACGUGGACGUGGAUUGACUCCGUUACUCGCUUCCCUCCAACCCUGUGAAUGUGUGCUUUUAGUCCGCUGUUGUCCCGACCGGACCCUCACAUGAUCACGUUGAGUGGACAUCUGAUUGAUUGAGGCUGAUGGCGUCAAGAGUGACAGACUUUGACCCAGUCUCCUCCGAUGGUUCGUGAUCAUGUGUCAGAUUAUUAAAUACACUUAAUUUUAUAAAUUAAUUUUUUUCAUGUAGACUUUUUUUUUCCCCUUUCUUUUUGGUUUUUUCCCCUUGCCACUUAAUAUCUUGAAACAUUUAAGCAUGUUAGGUUUGUUACCUAUCCAAUUCACUUCAUAUUAA